GACGAACGCUGGCGGCGUGCUUAACACAUGCAAGUCGAACGGUGAACUCCGCUUGCGGGGGGCACAGUGGCGAACGGGUGAGUAACACGUGGGCAACCUGCCCUCAGCUCUGGGAUAACUCCAAGAAAUUGGGGCUAAUACCGGAUAUGACCGCUGACCGCAUGGUCUGGUGGUGGAAAGAUUUAUCGGCUGGGGAUGGGCACGCGGCCUAUCAGCUUGUUGGUGGGGUAGUGGCCUACCAAGGCGCCGACGGGUCGCCGCUCUGAGAGGUGGAACGGCCACACUGAGCCUGAGACACGGCCCAGACACCUACGGGCGGCAGCAGUGGGGAAUAUUGCGCGAUGGUCGAAAGCCUGACGCAACGACGCCGCGUGGGGGAUGACCGCCUUCGGGUUGUAAACCUCUUUCAGCGAGGACAAAGCGAAAGUGACGGUACCUGCAGAAGAAGCACCGGCCAACUACGUG
rnacentral:rRNA from 1 species